GACGAACGCUGGCGGCGUGCUUAACACAUGCAAGUCGAACGGAAAGGCCCUGCUUUUGUGGGGUGCUCGAGUGGCGAACGGGUGAGUAACACGUGAGUAACCUGCCCUUGACUUUGGGAUAACUUCAGGAAACUCGGGCUAAUACCGGAUAGGAUCUCCUGCUGCAUGGUGGGGGUUGGAAAGUUUCGGCGGUUGGGGAUGGACUCGCGGCUUAUCAGCUUGUUGGUGGGGUAGUGGCUUACCAAGGCUUUGACGGGUAGCCGGCCUGAGAGGGUGACCGGCGACAAGGGGACUGAGAUACGGCCCAGACGCCAACGGGAGGCAGCAGUGGGGAAUAUUGCACAAUGGGCGGAAGCCUGAUGCAGCAACGCCGCGUGCGGGAUGACGGCCUUCGGGUUGUAAACCGAUUUCGCCUGUGACGAAGCGUGAGUGACGGUAAUGGGUAAAGAAGCACCGGCUAACUACGUG
rnacentral:rRNA from 1 species